GACGAACGCUGGCGGCGUGCCUAAUACAUGCAAGUAGAACGCUGAAGGAGGAGCUUGCUUCUCUGGACGAGUUGCGAACGGGUGAGUAACGCGUAGGUAACCUGCCUGGUAGCGGGGGAUAACUAUUGGAAACGAUAGCUAAUACCGCAUAAUAGUAGAUGUUGCAUGACAUUUGCUUAAAAGGUGCAAUUGCAUCACUACCAGAUGGACCUGCGUUGUAUUAGCUAGUUGGUGAGGUAACGGCUCACCAAGGCGACGAUACAUAGCCGACCUGAGAGGGUGAUCGGCCACACUGGGACUGAGACACGGCCCAGACUCCUACGGGAGGCAGCAGUAGGGAAUCUUCGGCAAUGGACGGAAGUCUGACCGAGCAACGCCGCGUGAGUGAAGAAGGUUUUCGGAUCGUAAAGCUCUGUUGUAAGAGAAGAACGAGUGUGAGAGUGGAAAGUUCACACUGUGACGGUAUCUUACCAGAAAGGGACGGCUAACUACGUG
rnacentral:rRNA from 1 species